AAUGGCUGACUCAGGGGAAUAAUCUUUUUCUGACUGCACAGCUACAAACAAACAUGAUGUGGAUCAACUGCUAGUGCAACAAAGAUAAGAUAAACAAGACUGAGGGGAAUGAAACUCAAGAUGAAAUUACAGUGAGGGGAACAAGUAACAUUAUAUCUUUUUCUAUAGACUGGACCAACUACACUUAUACGGUGCUAAAUCUAUACUAAAAGCAUUGAAAGGGAUUUUGACUGAUGAUUGGAUAAAAGAUAAGGCCCAUCCAACACUAAAUAUUAAGGCCUGACCAAGCUAACUUUGUAGGUAUCUUUUUAUACUAAUGUAUAUCUGAAACUAUGAUAGUUGUACAGUUUUUAAAUUUUAUGUAAUUUCUUUUGUUUUUUAGUUCAAAUG